rnacentral:rRNA from 1 species
GAUGAACGCUGGCGGCGUGCCUAAUACAUGCAAGUCGAACGAACAGACGCUGCGCUUGCUCCUCUGUCGUUAGCGGCGGACGGGUGUGUAACACGUGUAUCACCUCCCUAUCAGACUGGGAUCACUUCGAGACACCGGCGCUAAUACCGGAUAAUAUAUUGCACCGCAUGGUUCAAUAGAGAAAGUCGGUUUUUCUGUCACUUAUAGAUGGUUCUGGGCCGCAUUAGCUAGUUGUUAAGGUAACGGCUUACCAAGGCAACGAUGCGUAGCCGAGGUGAGAGGGGGGUCGGCCACACUGGAGGUGAGACAGGGACCAGACGCCUGCGGGAGGCAGCAGUAGGGAAUGUGCGGCAGUGGGCGAAAGCCUGGCGGAGCGGCGCCGAGUGAGAGAUGAAGGUCUUGGGAGCGUAAAACUGUGUUAUUAGGUAAGAACAAAUGUGGAAGGAACUAUGCACUGCGUGACGGUACCGAAUCAGAAAGCCACGGCUAACUACGUG